UACUACUGUUAAAUGUUAGCUCAUGUA
rnacentral:piRNA from 1 species